GGGAGGUACCUGGAACUGGGAGUGAUGUCAGCUCCUAGCUCUGUGCCUGCCCGGAUUCCUGACAUGGUGUAGGGCCGAGAGGGUGGGGAAGGCGGGAGCGGGACGGGAAAGGGUUCGGGCUGGGAGCCUGCGGCGGGGCCACCGUGCUGGAGCUUUGAACUCGGACGGAAGGUGAACCAGAACUUUUGGAACUGGCGCCGGCGGCUCUCCACUCCCCAGGCCCAGCUGAGGCAGUUCAGGAAGCUCUUGUUGCCGAGAGCCUGCGUGGAAACUCAGCCCUCAAACUCUGCUGGAAGCAGUAUAGAAGAAUUUUAUGGAUCAGUUUGCUAAGAAGUACAUGGAAAAUUUGAAGAGCUGAAGAAAAAAAAUCACUAUUAAACUUGCUUUUAAAAAUGUGAGUAAACUUUCUCCUCUGCAUUGUUUAUUUCCAACACUUGUAAAGCCUGUAAUUACCUUUCUGUAUAUUGAGUGUGUAAAUUUUUUCCCAGUAGUAAAGUUACUCAACUGUGUCCGUCUACUCAUUAAGUCUGUGACAAUUGAUGACCCACCCCCCUCUGGAAAAGUUUUUCAAUUCUAAAAGUGCUAUGACUAACAUAGGUGAUUGUAGAAUUUAGAUGUGUUAUGGCAGUCAGUGAGCAAAUCUGGUUGGCAGCGAGAAGAAAAACACAGACCUGCUAGCACAGAAAAAGCACCACCCUCUUCUCAAUCCUUGAUGGCUCUUUGUCCCACAGACCAUCUCAGUGCUGUAUUGAAGCCAGUGAGAAUUUGGUCAACCCCUUAAUGACCCUGUACGUUUAGAAACAUGAGGUGUUUUCACAUAAGCUUAU